GCUACUACCCACCUCCUCUUCUUCUCGCCUUCUCCAAGCCACGAACGUGUAGCCGCCAGCAACGCGACCACGGGGAAGAUAGAAACAAAGAAAACAAAAGGCCAAGACCGGCACUGCAGGCACGCACGACCCUGAUUGUGCAAGCAACCCUUUCCCCAGCGACGUUCCCGCCCACUGCCGGCCUCGAGGCUGCUGAUCAUUGGCACCUGACAAUACCCG
rnacentral:misc_RNA from 1 species